AGCAAGCAAUUAUAUUCAUCGGACCAUUUUGCCAGCCCCCCAUUCCCCACUAUUUCUGGUCAAGUGUGGUAGCAGUAGAACAUCUUUUUUUUUUAAAAGAUUAAUUUAUUUAUGUGAGUACACCAUCACUGUCUUCAGACACACCAGAAAAGGGCGGCAGAUCUCAUUACAGAUGGUUGUGAGCCACCAUGUGGUUGCUGGGAAUUGAACUCAGGACCUCUGGAAGAGCAGUCAGUGCUCUUAACCACUGAGCCACCUCUGCAGCCCCAGCAUACUCCUUUAAGCCUAGCACCAGGAGGGUCAGAGGGCAGCCUGAUUAACAUAACAAAACCCUGACAAAAAACAUGUACCGAAAUAAGGAAAUCUUUAAAUAAGUUGAAGUUGCAUAUUAGUACCUGUAUUUCCUUAGGAAAAGUAGCACUAAACAUCAUAGUGUGGCGGACACCUUUUGGAGGCAUAGUGUCUUGUUCAACUAUUCUACG
rnacentral:lncRNA from 1 species